UACAGAGGGUGCGAGCGUUAAUCGGAAUUACUGGGCGUAAAGCGUGCGUAGACGGUCGCGUAAGUCAGAUGUGAAAGCCCCGGGCUCAACCCCGGAACUGCAUCCGAUACUGCCGUGCUAGAGGAUUGGAGAGGUAGCUGGAAUUCUUGGUGUAGCAGUGAAAUGCGUGGAGAUCAAGAGGAACACUCGUGGCGAAAGCGAGCUACUGGACAAUAUCUGACGCUGAGGCUCGAAGGCCAGGGUAGCGAAAGGG
rnacentral:rRNA from 1 species